GCGGGGGCUUCCCUCCCGGGCCGCCCACUGGAGUGCGCUGUGUUCCGCUUCCCGUGGCAUCCCGCUGAGGUAGCCUGCGGCCGGGUACUGGCUGGUCCGUCCAGCAGGCCUCCCCAUCGCCGUGAUGUCCUGCGUGCAGCUGCCCGCCAAGGAGAGUGCCCUCUUCAAGCGCGUGCUGAAAUGUUACGAACAGAAGCAGUACAAAAAUGGCCUCAAGUUUUGCAAAAUGAUUCUUUCGAACCCGAAAUUUGCUGACCAUGGAGAGACUUUGGCUAUGAAAGGAUUAACAUUGAACUGUUUGGGAAAAAGAGAAGAAGCAUAUGAAUUUGUUCGUAAAGGACUUCGCAGUGACGUCAGGAGUCAUGUCUGUUGGCAUGUAUACGGCCUCCUGCAACGUUCUGAUAAGAAGUAUGAUGACGCUAUUAAGUGCUAUCGAAAUGCCCUCAAAUUAGAUAAAGAUAAUUUGCAGAUCUUGAGGGAUCUCUCUCUAUUGCAGAUUCAGAUGAGAGAUCUUGAAGGUUAUCGAGAGACAAGAUACCAGCUUCUUCAGUUGCGCCCGGCACAGCGUGCUUCCUGGAUCGGAUAUGCCAUCGCCUACCAUUUGCUGAGAGAUUAUGACACAGCGCUAAAACUAUUAGAAGAAUUUAGACAAACGCAACAAGUUCCUCCCAACAAAAUAGCUUAUGAAUAUAGCGAGCUGUUACUGUAUCAGAAUCAAGUUAUGAGAGAGGCAAAUCUAUUUCAGGAAUCUUUGGAACACAUAGAAACAUACGAGAAGCUGAUAAGUGAUAAACUUUUGGUGGAAGAAAUUAAGGGAGAAAUACUGUUGAAAUUGGGAAGACUAAAAGAAGCGAGUGAAGUAUUCAAAAACUUGAUUGAUUGGAAUGCAGAAAAUUGGUGUUAUUAUGAAGGCUUGGAAAAGGCAUUGCAACUCCGUUCUUUAGACGAGAGGCUUCAGAUUUAUGAAGAGAUCAGUAAGCAGCACCCCAGAGCAGUUUCACCAAGAAGAUUACCACUGAAUUUUGUCCCAGGUAAAAAAUUUCGAGAACUCAUGGAUAAGUUCUUGAGACCAAACUUUACCAAAGGCUGUCCACCUCUGUUCACUACUUUAAAAUCUUUGUAUUGUAAUGCAGAAAAGGUUUCAAUAAUCCAGGAACUUGUUACUAAUUAUGAAGCUUCUCUUAAAAUGAAUGGCUUUUUUAGCCCUUAUGAUAAUGGGGAAAAGGAACCCCCGACAACUCUAAUUUGGGUCCAAUAUUUCCUGGCACAGCAUUUUGAUAAACUUGGACAGUAUUUUCUGGCUUUGGAAUAUAUUAAUGCUGUGAUUGCUAGCACUCCGACUCUAAUAGAAUUAUUCUACAUGAAAGCAAAAAUUUACAAGCAUAUGGGUGAUCUCAAAGGAGCUGCACAGUGGAUGGAUGAAGCACAGUCUUUGGACACAGCCGAUAGAUUCAUCAAUUCCAAAUGUGCCAAAUACUUGCUUCGAGCAAAUAUGAUAAAAGAAGCAGAGGAAAUGUGCUCCAGGUUCACAAGGGAAGGAACAUCUGCCAUGGAAAAUCUAAAUGAAAUGCAGUGUAUGUGGUUUGAGACGGAGUGCAUUUCUGCCUAUCAGCGCCUGGGGAGAUACGGGGAUGCCUUGAAAAAAUGCCAUGAAGUAGAAAGGCACUCUCCUUCUACAUGGACCACAGGAGGAAAGGAGCCGCAAAUGCACCCCUGAGGCAGUCCUCAGCAGCCCUCAGUUGUGGGGCACUCGGCACCACUCUUCCCCUGCUGACGCAGUAUAAAACCACAGGCGUCGUAGUCAGCAUUUUCUUGAGAUAACCGAUGAUCAGUUUGACUUCCAUACAUACUGCAUGAGAAAGAUGACCCUCCGUGCUUAUGUUGACCUCUUGAGAUUAGAAGAUACUCUGAGAAGACAUACUUUUUAUUUCAAGGCUGCUAGAUCAGCAAUUGAAAUAUAUUUGAAAUUACAUGAUAACCCUUUAACCAAUGACAGCAAACAACAAGACAUAGAUUCAGAAAACCUGUCAGCCAAAGAACUGAAGAAAAUGCUUAGCAAGCAAAGAAGAGCUCAGAAAAAGGCUAAGGUAGAAGAAGAGAGAAAGCACACAGAAAGGGAGCGUCAACAGAGAAAUCAAAAGAAAAAAAGAGAAGAAGAAGAAGAAGUCACCAGUGGUCAUAGGGAAGAAUUUGUUCCUGAAAAACUAGAAAAGGUUGACAAUCCAUUAGAAGAAGCCAUCAAGUUCCUCACUCCUCUAAAAACCCUUGUUGCUGAUAACAUUUAUACCCACCUGCUGGCCUUUGAAAUAUAUUUUAGAAAAGGGAAGUUUUUGCUAAUGUUGCAGUCUGUUAAACGCGCCUUCGCCAUUGACAGUAAUAAUCCUUGGUUGCAUGAAUGCUUGAUUAAAUUUUCUAAAUCUGUAUCUAAUCACAGUAAUCUUCCAGACAUUGUGAGCAAAGUUCUAGAUCAAGAAAUGAAGAAGAUAUUUGUCAGCAAAGAUUUGCACAGCUUUAAUGAGGAUUUUCUCAAACACAAUGCUACCUCUCUUCAGCAUCUACUUGCAGGUGCUAAAAUGAUGUAUUUUCUGGACAAGGCAAGGCAAGAGAAAGCAAUUGCUACAGCCACUAGGUUGGAUGAAACUAUAAAAAAUAAAAAUGUGAAGACUCUAAUAAAGGUCUCUGAGGCACUGCUGGAUGGCAGCUUUGGGAACUGUAGGUCCCAGUAUGAAGAGUACAGGAAGGCCUGCCAUAACUUGUUUCCACUUACACCUGCUUUCCUGCCUGCUGUGAAUGAAACCGUCAGUCCCAGCACUCAGCUCAACCACACAGUGGACCACAAGCUCUUGAUGAAUGAAAUUUGAAUCUUAGGGGAUGUUGCUCCUACAGACUCAAAGCCGAAUUCACAUCAGGGUUUCUUUUUCACUGUACAGUUUAAUACUGGUCUGAAAUAAACUAUUUAGAUAGAAGUUUUAAAUGGAAUAUUGUGUAAGCUUAUUUUAUGCUAUGUCUGGUCUCCAAUUUACAUAGACAUCUGUUAUAGUUACUUGUUUAUACUUGUUCCGUCUUACACUUCAGAAUUAUGAGUGUUGCUUCUGUAUUAUAUACUUCAGCUGCUGAUUGAGGUAUAGACAGCCCUCUUAUGCUAUUUUCUUUAGGUCCUAGUUUCAGAAUCUGUUUUGACCUCUUGUUUAUUUGAUUAUUUUGAAGGGUUAACUGAAUGUUAGAAAUAGCCAUAUUUUCCAUCUUGGUAGAUAAUGUGAUUUGUUCCCUUUUUAUCUUAACUUGUGUGAUUAUUUCCUUUGUCAUAGCCAUAAAAAUGAUACUUUAUGGUCGAAUAAGAAUACACCAGUGUUAUGUUGAUAUUCAGAAUGUGAAGACUGGUUUGCCUCUUAAUCAUGUAAAUGUAACUGUUUGUUAUAUAUCUAGUCUUACAGACCAUUGUCGAGGAAUUUUCUUGAUUGAGUUCAAUAGAGACUUAGCAAGCAGCUUACCCUGAGAUGUUUUCUUCAAGGGAGGGUGAUGGGCAGAGUACAGAUUAAAACUGCACUGUCUCCCUCAAAACCAUUCAGUGAGUUUUUGAUCUCUCAGAUGAGAACUUAACUAUAAUUAAACUAUGAAAUCAUAGUGUUGUUGAACAGUGUUGGGGGGAGGCCUUUUUGCCAUAUCUAAUACAGUGGAAUCACUCUCAAUGUCAGUAUGUCUGUAAAUCUAUCUGAUAGAAACCCAGAAAGAUUUUUUUAUUUAGACAAUUUUAAUUAAAAUGGUUUUCCUUUAUUUCUUUAGCUUCAUAGUUGUUGAAGAGGGAAAAAAAAAAUCACUGUAGACAACGCUACAAUAAACUAUUUCAUACAGA